CUCGGUCCUAAACUAUGAGGCAUGCAGUAUUUCUAAAUCAUCAAUUUAGCUAACUAAACAUAAAUUAAAUAAUUAAAUAAUAUAUCAUUAGAAAGUUCCGUCGAUAAUCCAUAUUCUUUAAGCGUUUGUAUCCCAUACCAAAAACGGAAGAAAGUACACACGAAACGGACGAAAGAAAGCAUUCUCUUCCCAUUCGCCCGAUUCCCUCUGCGCAUCACCGCCGCCGCCAUUGCCUUCUCUCUUCCCCCGCCCGGAGAGGCGCCGCCUCCUCCAUUGCCCUUCCUCGCUUCUGCCUCCGCCGCCGUUGUUCCCCAACACACCGCCGUCGUGCCCCCACCCACUCCCUCCCCCCUCUUUCCCACAAAAAUAGAGAGGCACGAGAGACACAAGCGAUGCCCUUGACGGGUAGCCUACGACCCGACAAGGGAAGUGAGGGCUCGGAGGCCGACUUCGUGGGCGGCAGAAAGGUAAGGGCCCGCCAGCGAGUCGAGGAGGAGGAAGAGCUGGUAGCCAGGAGCGGCUGGAGCUGCGGUGGCAGCCGGAGCGGAGGGACACGGGAUGAACCGCAUCCAGGUCUUCAAUACCAAGAACACUAUGUACUUAUAUAUCAACCAAGUUUCAUUGGCGCCCAAGGUCACCUUCACUACUAACUCUCGAGAAGGAGGAAGAGAUCUCAAAUCGGAACCAGGAAUGAUUAAUUGUGUCUUUUCAUUGCAGAUUUGUUCCAUUGUUGUAAAAACAUCAGUAAGGAAUAUAUAAACAGAUAAAAGGAAAUUUGAGCUAUUCCGGAUUGAUUCCACAAGUGACCUUUUCGUGGUGUUUAUUAGAAACUUGUGAGAAUGAUUCGUUGUCUGUAGUUGUACAUUCCCCCAAUAUUCUGUGCAAAUAUUAGACCAAAUAAAAGACAAGAAAAUAAGCAUAUGCUCAGAA